AGUGGGGCUGGCGGCAACUCUAGGUCUAACAUCCCUCGGAAGUUCGUGCAGCGGCCUCGCUGAAAAUGGCUUUACAGCCCGGCAGAACCCUCCGACUCCGCAGCAGGACCUGCGGAGCCUCUCCGCCCUCGGUACCGGCGGGACGGGGUAGCCCUGACCUUCCGGGUGCCUCCUCCACAGGGGCGCCCCCUAAGGCCACGCCCUCCCGAUGCCGGUCCGCGCACCGCUCCGCACGCCUCAUAUUUAGCAUUACCUGUGCUGGGGCAAGCGAUUGACAUACUGUAGCGGACGCAAGUACAGCGGAUCUGCGGCGAGUCCCCUUCGCUCUCCGUAGUGGGCGGGGCUUCACCCCGCGUCCUUUAAAGGAAAGGUGAUGGGCGGAGCCACGUUUUUCUACUGUUGGGAUUCAGUUCCGCCGACAGAAAAUGCGGAGAACGCGGAGGAAGUCCCUGAGGGGAAAUUGCUGCUCACCUGGCUCCCGCUGCUCCGCAGGUGCGGUGAAGGCUAAUGUCGAAUUUCUGCAGCAAUCGGAGCAGCCCUUACUCCAGUUACAUUAACACCAAUCUCGGUCUCCCACUAGGGCUUUAUAAAUUGCUUUCAUAAACGUCUUUUUAAUGUAACACUGAAUAAAAUGUUUUAUAAGCGUCUUUUAUAAGGAUCGUAAGUGAAAGGGCGCUGUCUCCGAUUUGCAGGUGAGCAGACAGCUUCGGAGUGAGAACGGCUCCCCGCGGGUCCCCGGUGGCGCGCGGCUCCCGGAGGCAAAACAAAGCUGGGGCCGGGGCGUCGGAGCCUCCGCGUUGUAGUUGGGAGAGGUUCGAACGGGGCCCCAGCUGGCGAAAGGGAAAACGGACCCGGACCCGGACCCGUGGAGCCUGCUCGAAAGCCGGGUGCUGGGGGUCUGGGCCCCGUGUCCCCCCUCUUUUUCUUCUUCAAUAAGAAAUUCCUCAAGGGCAGACUGCGAGUCCACAGUCGUGAAGCCACCUAAUCUGGCUUCAUACCUGGAAUGUUUGGAUUCCUGGUACGAAGAAAAACUAACAUUUAUUGGCUACUUGUCCACUGGAAGGCGUUGUCUUAUUUCUCAUUAACUCCUUGAGUCAGCAUUACGUCUUUUAUUACAGAUGACACAACUACUAAAGCUUUAAAUAGUUCUUUGGGAGCAAAGACGAAAUCUCCAUUUCCUUUUUAGCUGCUGGUAGCUCGACGCUCACUGUUAAAAUAGGGAGGUAAUGAAACAACUCUUGUGUGAGACCGAAAGUCCAGGUGUGCAUCUUGGCCAUUUCCAAGUUAAUCAAGAAGAAUUAAGGAUUCAUUUUAUUCUAUCAAAAUUAUUUCUCAAUGCCAAGAUAUUUUGUGUGACGUAGAUUCGGGGACAGACUGAGUAGCACAAUACCUGGGAAAAGUUAGGUGCUCAGCAAUUAUAAUUGCCCACAUUUGUGAUUGCUUUUGCCUAUGUGCCAGACACUGUUCUACGCACUGAACAUAUCUCAAGUUAUUCAAUCUUCAGGACAACCUUAUGAGCCAAUUAUUAUUAUUACCCAUUUUACAGAUGAGGGAACUGAAACAAAUUUGCCCAAGGUCGCACAACUAGUAGCAGAAUCAAGAAUAAAAAAGCCAAAAAACCCCAAACCCAGGCAAACUUUAAAUGUUCCUUGCAUUGCUAGACUGAAGUAGUGAGAGAAACAGUAAACAGUACGAGUCCAUGAAAACAUUAAAAGGAUGUGAAGUAUGUACAAGUAACUGAAACAUUUAAU
rnacentral:lncRNA from 1 species